rnacentral:tRNA from 1 species
CGGGACGUAGCGCAGCCCGGUAGCGCAUCAGCAUGGGGUGCUGGGGGUCGCUGGUUCGAAUCCAGUCGUCCCGA